GAGCAUGGAGUUUUGAGGUUUACUUCAGAUCGCUCCUAAGGAGAGGCCGUCAAGGUUAGUCAUCCAACACCAUCGUUCUAUCUAUGAGAAUAAUAGCAAGUAUCACAAGCUUUCACAUAGGAGAGAAGAGAGAGAGAAAGAGACGCAACAUGAUAGAGAGAAAAAAGAAAUGACGCAAUACUUUGCGAUGGAUAUAUCAUUCCAUACAUGUACACCCG
rnacentral:lncRNA from 1 species